rnacentral:tRNA from 1 species
AGCCCCGUAGUGUAGCGGUCAAUCAUGCGGGCCUUUGGAGCCUGCGACUCCGGUUCGAAUCCGGACGGGGCUA